rnacentral:rRNA from 1 species
UAGUGGCGAACGGGUGAGUAACACGUGGGCAAUCUGCCCUGCACUCUGGGACAAGCCCUGGAAACGGGGUCUAAUACCGGAUAACACUGUCCCCCUCCUGGGGGACGGUUGAAAGCUCCGGCGGUGCAGGAUGAGCCCGCGGCCUAUCAGCUUGUUGGUGGGGUAAUGGCCUACCAAGGCGACGACGGGUAGCCGGCCUGAGAGGGCGACCGGCCACACUGGGACUGAGACACGGCCCAGACUCCUACGGGAGGCAGCAGUGGGGAAUAUUGCACAAUGGGCGAAAGCCUGAUGCAGCGACGCCGCGUGAGGGAUGACGGCCUUCGGGUUGUAAACCUCUUUCAGCAGGGAAGAAGCGAAAGUGACGGUACCUGCAGAAGAAGCGCCGGCUAACUACGUGCCAGCAGCCGCGGUAAUACGUAGGGCGCAAGCGUUGUCCCGGAAUUAUUGGGCGNAAAGAGCUCGUAGGCGGUCUGUCACGUC